GGGUCAGUAGGUUGGUCGUGCCACCGGUACGUACUGGUCUCACUGAUUCCUCCUUCCUGAAGAACCGUAAUGCCAUUAAUUUGGUGUUGCGGGGAAACAGGACUGUUACUUUGAAAAAAUUAGAGUGUUUAGAGCAAGCUAACGCUUGAAUACAUUAGCACGGAAUAAUGAAAUAGGACGAUCGAUCCUAUUUUGUUGGUUUCUAGGAUUGACGUA
rnacentral:rRNA from 1 species